UGGGGAAUAUUGCACAAUGGGCGCAAGCCUGAUGCAGCCAUGCCGCGUGAGUGAAGAAGGCCUUAGGGUUGUAAAACUCUUUCAUCGGUGAAGAUAAUGACGGUAGCCGAAGAAGAAGCCCCGGCUAACUCCGUGCCAGCAGCCGCGGUAAUACGGAGGGGGCGAGCGUUGUUCGGAAUUACUGGGCGUAAAGCGCGCGUAGGCGGAUUGGUCAGUUGGGGGUGAAAUCCCGAGGCUUAACCUCGGAACUGCCCUCAAUACUGCCAAUCUAGAGUUCGGAAGAGGUAAGUGGAAUUCCUAGUGUAGAGGUGAAAUUCGUAGAUAUUAGGAAGAACACCAGUGGCGAAGGCGGCUUACUGGUCCGAUACUGACGCUGAGGUGCGAAAGCGUGGGGAGCAAACAGGAUUAGAUACCCCCGUAGUCC
rnacentral:rRNA from 1 species